rnacentral:rRNA from 1 species
AACGUAGGUGGCGGGCGUUAUCCGGAAUUACUGGGCGUAAAGCGUGUGCAGGCGGGCUAGCAAGUGGUGUUUGAAAGCUCCCGGCUCAACCGGGAAGGGUUAUGCCAGACUGCUAGUCUUGAGUGCGAGAGAGGAGCGUGGAAUUCCGGGUGUAGUGGUGAAAUGCGUAGAGAUCCGGAGGAACCCCAGAGGCGAAGGCGGCGCUCUGGCUCGCAACUGACGCUCAGACACGACAGCAUGGGGAGCGAACGGG